AGUGAACGCUGGCGGCAGGCCUAAUACAUGCAAGUCGAACGGCAGCACAGUAAGAGUUUGCCUUUACGGGUGGCGACUGGCGGACGGGUGACGCAUACAUCGGCAUCUUCUUUUUCGUGGGGGACUACGUAGGGCAACUUACGCUAAUACCGCAUAUGACCUACGGCAGGAUUCAGUGGUUCAUCGCACUUUGCCUGUCUCUUUGAGAUGAUGCCGGAUUAGCUAGUUGGCGGGGUAAAGGCACACCAAGGCGACGAUGCGUAGCUGAUCUGAGAGGAUGAUCAGCCACACUGGAACUGAGACACGGUCCAGACUCCUACGGGAGGCAGCAGUGGGGAAUAUUGCGCAAUGGGCGCAAGCCUGACGCAGCCAUGCCGCGUGAGUGAUGAAGGUCUUCGGGUUGUAAAACCCUGUUGUUAGGAAAGAAAAGCUGCGGAAUAAACCCCCCCUGUUCUGACGGUACCCAAAGAAUAAGCACCGGCUAACUUCGUG
rnacentral:rRNA from 1 species